GACGAACGCUGGCGGCGUGCCUAAUACAUGCAAGUUGAGCGAUGAAGCUUGGUGCUUGCACCAAUUUGAAGAGCAGCGAACGGGUGAGUAGCGCGUGGGGAAUCUGCCUUUGAGCGGGGGACAACAUUUGGAAACGAAUGCUAAUACCGCAUAAUAACUUUAAACAUAAGUUUUAAGUUUGAAAGAUGCAAUUGCAUCACUCAAAGAUGAUCCCGCGUUGUAUUAGCUAGUUGGUGAGGUAAAGGCUCACCAAGGCGAUGAUACAUAGCCGACCUGAGAGGGUGAUCGGCCACAUUGGGACUGAGACACGGCCCAAACGCCUACGGGAGGCAGCAGUAGGGAAUCUUCGGCAAUGGACGAAAGUCUGACCGAGCAACGCCGCGUGAGUGAAGAAGGUUUUCGGAUCGUAAAACUCGGUUGGUAGAGAAGAACGUUGGUGAGAGUGGAAAGCUCAUCAAGUGACGGUAACUACCCAGAAAGGGACGGCUAACUACGUG
rnacentral:rRNA from 1 species